rnacentral:lncRNA from 1 species
UCUGUAAUAGGCAGAUGUCCAUAUCUACUUUUGCUGUAGAAGAGGAAGCAGUGUAACAGCUCUCUGGAGGGAGUAUCCCAGGAGAACACCUAUUUUCUCGGGGCUGGGGGCUGAGAUGUAGCCCCUGGCUGGAGAGAGGACAUCCAUGCUGGAUUUCCAGUUCCUGUUUGAAAAUCUGGGUGACCUUUACUGCUCCAGCAGUGCCUGUGCAAACAGAGAUCCCCACCCUGAACUUUGAUUUACACUCAACUAGUAAAAAGAAAAAUACUGUAAUUAAAGCAUCAAGAAAUAGGUACACAGAAGAAAAGUGUCUGUAGCUCUGCAACAAAGUUCAGCUGCAUAUUCUCAGGUUACAGAGUCUAUCCCCAUAGGGCACUUUUUCUCCUGCCUGUUUCAUGGUGCUGUGUCUGGGCUUUGCAAUAACUGUUGUGUGGGACAAACCAUUACAUCUUUGUAUUACGGGCAUUUGUGUCCAGCCUCGAAACGUUAUUUCGUUCCCUGAGGUGAAUGCUGUUAUCAGGAGAAUGAAGUGUCCCAGUCCCCUGGUAAUUAUUCAUUAGGUAAGAUGUAAUGUGUGCGUGCAGAGUUCACUGUGGAUCCCACAGGAGAGGUCUGUGAGCCGAGCUUAUGUCAGCUUUAGGGUAGGGAUGGGUGAGUAACCAGAGAAAAACAACAAAACUAGAUCAGGAGCAGUCUGACCAAAACUUAACCCAAAACCUUUUCUUUUCAUCUCAAGGCUAAACUUACCAUUGAGUUCAGAAGGCUGGGAAGACUCCAGGUCAAUUUGCACCCACAUCUAGAACAAAUCACAGCUGCACUGAGGCAAAGCAAUGUUUGGGAUCACAAACCUGUGACUGUUCUACCCAUUGAGGAUCCAGGGAUUUCUGUAGCUCAAGGAGCAGGCCCCACUGGAGGGAAGUCACCAGUGAUUGUGUUACAGGAUGUGGGUAGGAGCAGCAGUGACCCCCUGACCACCCCAGAAAGGAGCAGCUCCUACCUUUGCAUAAGGAUAUGGGUGUUGCUGGGAGAUGAAAAGUCAUCUCCUGUCUUAGGAGGUGGAGGCUUAAAUGGAGGAAGGAGAAGCUUACAGCCAACACCUGACUCUGCCUGCAUUUAAUUAUCUAAUGUGUCAAUGCACAAAUACCAGCUCUGCUGACCUCAAACAUGUAAAAAUCCC